rnacentral:rRNA from 1 species
ACUCCUACGGGAGGCAGCAGUGGGGAAUAUUGCACAAUGGGCGCAAGCCUGAUGCAGCCAUGCCGCGUGUAUGAAGAAGGCCUUCGGUUGUGAAUGUAACUUUCAGUCAGUGAGGAAGGAUGGGUAUGUUAAUAGCAUACUCAUUUGACGUUAGCUGCAGAAGAAGCACCGGCUAACUCCGUGCCAGCAGCCGCGGUAAUACGGAGGGUGCGAGCGUUAAUCGGAAUUACUGGGCGUAAAGCGCAUGCAGGUGGUUUGUUAAGUCAGAUGUGAAAGCCCGGGGCUCAACCUCGGAAUUGCAUUUGAAACUGGCAAACUAGAGUACUGUAGAGGGGGGUAGAAUUUCAGGUGUAGCGGUGAAAUGCGUAGAGAUCUGAAGGAAUACCGGUGGCGAAGGCGGCCCCCUGGACAGAUACUGACACUCAGAUGCGAAAGCGUGGGGAGCAAACAGGAUUAGAUACCCUGGUAGCUACGAGU